GGCGGGGGGGCGGGCGGCAGUGGCGGGAGCGGCCCCUCGGCCAUCCUCCGUCUGCCCAGUUACCGCUUCCGCUACCGCCGCCGCUCCCGCU
rnacentral:pre_miRNA from 1 species